rnacentral:rRNA from 1 species
UACGAAGGGGGCUAGCGUUGCUCGGAAUCACUGGGCGUAAAGGGCGCGUAGGCGGCCGAUUAAGUCGGGGGUGAAAGCCUGUGGCUCAACCACAGAAUUGCCUUCGAUACUGGUUGGCUUGAGACCGGAAGAGGACAGCGGAACUGCGAGUGUAGAGGUGAAAUUCGUAGAUAUUCGCAAGAACACCAGUGGCGAAGGCGGCUGUCUGGUCCGGUUCUGACGCUGAGGCGCGAAAGCGUGGGGAGCAAAUAGGAUUAGAUACACUGGUAGUCCACGCCGUAAACGAUGAAUGCCAGCCGUUGGCCUGCUUGCAGGUCAGUGGCGCCGCUAACGCAUUAAGCAUUCCGCCUGGGGAGUACGGUCGCAAGAUUAAAACUCAAAGGAAUGACG